UACAGAGGUCCCAAGCGUUGUUCGGAUUCACUGGGCGUAAAGGGUGUGUAGGCGGUUUUUUAAGUUUGGUGUGAAAUCUCCCGGCUCAACUGGGAGGGUGCGCCGAAUACUGAAAGACUAGAGUGCGGGAGAGGAAAGUGGAAUUCCUGGUGUAGCGGUGAAAUGCGUAGAUAUCAGGAGGAACACCGGUGGUGUAGACGGCUUUCUGGACCGUAACUGACGCUGAGACACGAAAGCGUGGGUAGCAAACAGG
rnacentral:rRNA from 1 species